rnacentral:rRNA from 1 species
GACGAACGCUGGCGGCGUGCUUAACACAUGCAAGUCGAGCGGUAAGGCCCUUUCGGGGGUACACGAGCGGCGAACGGGUGAGUAACACGUGGGUGACCUGCCUUUAGCUCUGGGAUAAGCCUGGGAAACUGGGUCUAAUACCGGAUAUGACUCCGCGGUGCAUGCUGUGGGGUGGAAAGCCUUGUGCGGCUGGAGAUGGGCCCGCGGCCUAUCAGCUUGUUGGUGGGGUGANGGCCUACCAAGGCGACGACGGGUAGCCGGCCUGAGAGGGCGACCGGCCACACUGGGACUGAGACACGGCCCAGACUCCUACGGGAGCAGCAGUGGGGAAUCUUGCGCAAUGGGCGAAAGCCUGACGCAGCGACGCCGCGUGAGGGAUGACGG